rnacentral:lncRNA from 1 species
CAGAAAUGACAAGCUAGUGGCUUAUUAGAAAUAGUAAGAAGAAAAUACCAACCUUUGAUUUCAAAUGUGUAGGGAACAUCCCGUCCAACCUUGUAGGAGUAUUUGUUGGUGUACCGCAUUGUGAAAAAUAAUUUGCAGGGCGGCAAUAAAAAGCCUUUUUUUUUCUCUCUUUGAUGUGAAGAAAUAAGAAGUAUGCCGGAAAAAGAUUACUGAUCUGACAUGAGGCAAUGGGAGCACAUAUAAUUCUUGAAUGCUUACUUUCUGCAGCAAAUUUACUCUUCCAAAUAAAGUAGGCACAGGCAGUAACUUUUCAAUUUAAUUUACGCAAACAUAAUUCUUCAUACUAGCAUAAUUCUUUCCCAGCUUAAAGGAGGUUCUGAAUUCUUUCGAUUAACUGCUAGGAUUCUUGAGUCCCUUCCAGCAUAUCUAUAUUUUUCAAUAUGGAGGAAGUUGUAACACUUGAAAUGGAAGCAAUUGGAGAGCUUGGUUCAUGAGAUAAGCUACGUAAUCCAAAGAAAAGUAUCUGCUUUAAUAUACCAUUCCUAGUUUAGAGCUGCAAGUCAUAAUCCGCAGCAAAGAAAUACAAAUAACUUGCUUGACUGAACAUUGCCGGACUUUUGGGAGUUAAAGACAUUUAAGUAAAAUUGGGGGC